rnacentral:rRNA from 1 species
UGGAUAGUGGCGAAAGGGUUAGUAAUGGAUAGGUAAUGUACCCUGUGCUUCGGGAUAGCGUCAGUUGCUUCGGCAACUUUCCGAAAGGGGCGGUAAUACCGAAUAAUAUCAUUUGUCGAUGGACUUAUGAUCAAAGAUUUAUUGGCACAGGAGCGGCCUAUCUCCUAUCAGCUUGUUGGUGGGGUAAUGGCUCACCAAGGCGAUGACGGGUAGCGGGACUGAGAGGUUGACCCGCAACAUCGGGACUGAGACACUGCCCGGACCUCCACGGAGGGCUGCAGUAACGAAUAUUGCGCAAUGGGCGAAAGCCUGACGCAGCGACGCCGCGUGCGGGAAGAAGUCCCUCGGGAUGUAAACCGCUGUCAGGGGUAAGAAAGUCCGCUUCGGCGGAUUGAUCUAACCCAGAGGAAGUCACGGCUAACUUCGUGCCAGCAGCCGCGGUAAGACGAAGGUGGCUAGCGUUGUUCGGUGUCACUGGGCUUAAAGCGUGUGUAGGCGGAAAAGUAAGCGUCUUGUGAAAUCCCUCGGCUUAAUCGAGGAACUGCUCGGCGAACUGCUUUUCUUGAGGCAAGUAGGGGUGCAUGGAACUCUUGGUGGAGCGGUGGAGUGUGUAGAUAUCAAGAGGAACGCCGAUGGAGAAAUCAAUGCACUGGGCUUGUCCUGACGCUGAGACACGAAAGCGUGGGGAGCGAACGGGAUUAGAUACCCCGGUAGUCCACGCCGUAAACGAUG